UUUCCGUAGGUGAACCUGCGGAAGGAUCAUUAUAAAUGAAAAACGAAUAACUUCAGGGAAGAAGGGAACCUGCACGGUCACCUCCCCUGUCGGGCCACCCAAUACCUUCAAAAUGCCGCCGUCCUAGCGGUGGCAGACGAAAAAAAAACAAGAAAAACAAAAUAGAAACAGGCACGGUGGCCCGUUCACCUUCACACAACCCUCCGAGUACCGCUUCCAUGUUGCUUCCCCGCAAAUCCACCUCUUUGGUGAGCGCGGGGGAGGUCCGCAUCAAAUUCACCUGAAUGUCACAGCAGUCAGACGGCCAUUCAUGGAAACAAUAAAACUUUCAACAACGGAUCUCUUGGUUCCC
rnacentral:misc_RNA from 1 species